GUUCAAUGUUUUAGAAAUUGCUCUGAAUGUACCAUUCAGUGACGCAGGAAGGGGUACACACGGCAGAGAGAGCGCUCACUCGGAGUGCACAUGCUUGACUACUAAGAAACAGGCCUAUUCAAGCUCUCACGAUACGGCCUGCAGAUCUGAACAUAUAACAAGAAGUGAAAAAUGAUCCUAGUCUGUAAUCUGAUAAUGGUCACGUGCUGCCAGGAGGACAAAGACAUCUCAGCUCCAAACCCUGCACACUGGCAUCAGCCGAACAACCUGGGGCACAAGUUAAAACCAGCUUUACUUGGGGUAACAACACAAGGAGGAGGAGAAGGAGAAGGAGGUGGAGAAGGAGGCGUAGCUGUUACGUCAUAGCUCCAAAAGAGUUGCUGUCUAUUUUAGGAACAUAGUGUAACAGUUUUAAUAGAAAACAUGCAAACUGCUCUUUGUUUUUGUGGCACAGACUGUGAAACUCGAGCUCAUCUCCAGCUGUGCUCAUGCAUUGAAUGUACAAGUCUCACUAAAGCAUGCAAUUUCAAACUUCAUUCAAUCAGAAGGACUGGUUCGUUUGCUUUUAUACAUAUCAGAACUGGUAUGUUUUGCUCAUUAACUCUAAAUAAAGAGCAGAUUGCUGA